ACGACGCUCUGGAAAGGACGGGGAACCCCUGUCCACCGAAGGGGCAACCCGCCGCGGAGGGCGGGGAAUCUCUCAGGUUUCUAACAGAGACGGA
rnacentral:ncRNA from 1 species